GCAUAUCAAUAAGCGGAGGAAAAGAAACCAACAGGGAUUGCCUCAGUAACGGCGAGUGAAGCGGCAAAAGCUCAAAUUUGAAAUCCCCCGGGAAUUGUAAUUUGAAGAGAUUUGGGUCCGGCCGGCNGGGGUUAAGUCCACUGGAAAGUGGCGCCACAGAGGGUGACAGCCCCGUGAACCCCYUCAACGCCUUYAUCCCAGRUCUCCAAGAGUCGAGUUGUUUGGGAAUGCAGCUCUAAGUGGGUGGUAAAUUCCAUCUAAAGCUAAAUACCGGCGAGAGACCGAUAGCGAACAAGUACAGUGAUGGAAAGAUGAAAAGCACUUUGAAAAGAGAGUGAAAAAGUACGUGAAAUUGUUGAAAGGGAAGGGCUUGCAAGCAGACACUUAACUGGGCCAGCAUCGGGGCGGCGGGGAGCAAAACCACYGGGGAAUGUACCUUUCGAGGAUUAUAACCCCGGUCCUUACUCCCUCRCCRUCCCGAGGCCUGCAAUCUAAGGAUGCUGGCGUAAUGGUUGCAAGUCGCCCGUCUUGAAACACGGACCAA
rnacentral:rRNA from 1 species